rnacentral:rRNA from 1 species
GCCUGCAGCAAUACCACCUUUUGCUGUGAUCCUGUCAGAUCUCAUAAGCUAAGCAGGGCCAGGCCAAGUCGGUAGCUGAAUAUGAAACCUAUGAAGAAGAAUGCCUAAAGAGCUGGGUAGGUGCACUCA